AGGUGGUUGACUUUCAUUUCUGUUUUCUAAAUACUCAUUUUCAUUCAUUUUCCUGUGGUUUUAAGUGACUUUCUAAGAGGUUAAGAUUGAGGCCACCCUUCG
rnacentral:miRNA from 1 species